rnacentral:rRNA from 1 species
GAUGAAUGCUGGCGGCGUGCCUAACACAUGCAAGUCGAGCGGUAACAGAUCUAGCUUGCUAGAUGCUGACGAGCGGCGGACGGCUGAGUAACGCGUGGGAACAUACCCCAAAGUGAGGGAUAACCGCCCGAAAGGGUGGCUAAUACCGCAUAUGGUCUUCGGAUUAAAGGAUUUAUCCGCUUUGGGAAUGGCCUGCGUACGAUUAGAUAGUUGGUGAGGUAAUGGCUUACCAAGUCUACGAUCGUUAACUGGUUUGAGAGGAUGAUCAGUCAGACUGGAACUGAGACACGGUCCAGACUCCUACGGGAGGCAGCAGUGAGGAAUCUUCCACAAUGGGCGAAAGCCUGAUGGAGCAACGCCGCGUGCAGGAUGAAGGCCUUCGGGUUGUAAACUGCUUUUAUAAGUGAAGAAUAUGACGGUAACUUAUGAAUAAGCACCGGCUAACUCCGUGCCAGCCGCCGCCGUA